rnacentral:lncRNA from 1 species
AGGACCCUCUUUUUUCCAAGACCUCCAGUCCCCCAUGUCUUCUUUGUCCUUCCCUUAUACGACUGUUCAGUUUCUUCUACCUAACUCACAUUUUCAUUGAGGGUUGUGGCCUUCAGGUCUUGGCUUUGUGGAGGGGUUUAAGAUUAUAACUUUUCACCUCAUGAGGUCCAAGGCUUUGUCUCCAGUCUCCAAGAGACCAUUAAAAUUGAAAUUCUAGCUUAUUAAGGAAUGGUAGAUUUCUCUCUUCAGCACUGGUUUACUUUUUUUGAUUUGGGCUUUUGUUCCUCUCAAGGUCUUUGGGAAUUUCCUUUACUUUCUUGCCAGCUUGGGAAUGCAUUUAAUAAGCUGCUUUAAAAUGCUUUAUCCAGAAUGUUUAGGUGUUUGCUGAGGAGGUUUAUUCAGCUUACCUAACUCACCACAUGAUCAGAAAUGGAAAUAAUUGUUAUAAAUCUAGAAAGUGUAAAACUAUAAUGUAAUCUGAAAAAUGGGAGUCAGAGAGAGAAAAACAGGAGGAAAGAAGGGAAAAUAGUAUAAUUUUUUCAUCUUUUAUUGUAGAGUGUCAAUAGACACCAUUUAAAUUUGGGCUACAGAUCCAUAUAAAUACUGUGAUUGACAGAGGAACUAAAACUAAGCAUUGUAAACAGGACUUAUCUCUGAAACCUGAGUGGGGUGGGGUGAUGUUAGGAGAGGAAGCCUUUUGCUUUUUGAACAGGUGGAAGUAAAACUGUCUUUAUUCACAGUAGGCAUGAUCAUCUACAGAGAAAAUCUAGAAUUGACCAAGAAGCUACUAGAACUAAUAAGUGGCUUCAACAAGGUAUCAGGAUAUAAGAUCGACAUAAAAAAUCAAUUACUUUUCUGUGCACUAGCAAUGAACAAAAGGAAUUUAAAAACAAUAUUAUUUACAAUAUCAUCAGAAUUACACUAUACUUAGGGGUAAAUCUGACAAAAGAUGUGAAAGACCUACAUACCAAAAACUAAAAGUCAUUACUUAGAGAAAUUAAAGAAGACCUAAAUAAAAGGUGAGAUAUAUCUUUUUCAUUGGGUCAGAAGACUCUAUACUAUUAAGACAUCAGUUCUCACGAGAUUAAUCUACAGACUGAAUAGAAUACCAAUCCAAAUCCCAAGAAGUCUUUCUGUAGAACUUGAUUCUAAAAUUCAUACGGAAAUGCAGAUGACCUAGAAUAUACAAAACAACUUUGAAGAAGAAGAACAGAAAUGGAGUUAAUACCACCAAAUUUCAAAAUUUAUAAGGGCAGCCUGUGGUGCAGCAGUUAAAGUUUGCAUGUUCCACUUCAGCAGCCCAGAGUUCGCCAGUUUGGAUCCCAGGUGUGGACAAGUUACCGCUUGGCAAGCCAUGCUGUGGCAGGCGUCUCACAUAUAAAGUAGAGGAAGAUGGGCACGGAUGUUAGCUCAGGGCCAGUCUUCCUCAGCAAAAAGAGGAGGAUUGGCAGCAGAUGUUAACUCAGGGCUCAUCUUC